rnacentral:rRNA from 1 species
GGAGGGUGCAAGCGUUAAUCGGAAUUACUGGGCGUAAAGGGCGCGUAGGUUGUUUGUCAAGUCAGAUGUGAAAUGUUCGGGCUUAACCUGGAAUGGCCAUUUGAAACUGACAGACUAGAGUAUAGUAGAGGGAAGGGGAAUUUCCGGUGUAGCGGUGAAAUGCGUAGAUAUCGGAAGGAACAUCAGUGGCGAAGGCGCCUUCCUGGGCUAAUACUGACACUGAGGCGCGAAAGCGUGGGUAGCGAACAGGGAUUAGAUACCCUGGUAGUCCACGCCGUAAACGAUGAGAACUAGCUGCUAGGUGCAUAAGCACUUGGUGGCGGAGCUAACGUUUUAAGUUCUCCGCCUGGGGAGUACGCCGCAAGGCUA